ACGAACGCUGGCGGCAUGCCUAACCCCUGCAAGUCGCACGCGACCUUCGGGUCUAGUGGCGCACGGGUGCGUAACGCGUGGGAACCUGCCCUUAGGUUCGGAAUAACUCCCCGAAAGGGGUGCUAAUACCGGAUAAUGUCUUCGGACCAAAGAUUUAUCGCCUUUGGAUGGGCCCGCGUUGGAUUAGCUAGUUGGUAGGGUAAAAGCCUACCAAGGCGACGAUCCAUAGCUGGUCUGAGAGGAUGAUCAGCCACACUGGGACUGAGACACGGCCCAGACUCCUACGGGAGGCAGCAGUGGGGAAUAUUGGACAAUGGGCGAAAGCCUGAUCCAGCAAUGCCGCGUGAGUGAUGAAGGCCUUAGGGUUGUAAAGCUCUUUUACCCGGGAUGAUAAUGACAGUACCGGGAGAAUAAGCGCCGGCUAACUCCGUG
rnacentral:rRNA from 1 species